GCAUUCAUAGCUCAAUCGGACAGAGUCUCGGGCUUCGAACUCGAAUGUGUAGGUUCAAAUCCUGCUGAAUGUA
rnacentral:tRNA from 1 species